GUGAGGAAUUUUCCGCAAUGGGCGAAAGCCUGACGGAGCAAUGCCGCGUGAAGGAUGAAGGCCUAUGGGUUGUAAACUUCUUUUCUCAGAAAAGAAUUAUGACGGUAUCUGAGGAAUAAGCAUCGGCUAACUUCGUGCCAGCAGCCGCGGUAAUACGAAGGGGGCGAGCGUUAUUCGGAAUCACUGGGCGUAAAGCGUGCGUAGGCUGUUUUGUAAGUCAGAAGUGAAAGCCCAGGGCUUAACCCUGGAAUUGCUUUUGAAACUACAAGACUCGAAUUCGGGAGAGGAUAGCGGAAUUGUCAGUGUAGCAGUGAAAUGCGUAGAUAUUGACAGGAACACCAGUGGCGCAAGCGGCUAUCUGGACCGAUAUUGACGCUGAGGCACGAAAGCGUGGGGAGCAAACAGGAUUAGAAACCCCAGUAGUCC
rnacentral:rRNA from 1 species